GGCGUCUGGGAGGUCCUCCGAGCGCCUGCUGGAUCUCUCCGUCGACGGCGGAGCGCGACCAGGAGGAUGUCCGCAUGAGGUCGUGAAGCCAGGAGCUGCUCGUCGCAUGUCGGCGACCCGGGGAUGCGCACGACGAGCGCGGGCGGACCCCGCGGCGACGUAGCGGCCAUGGGCGCGGCCAACGUCUCGGCGCUGGUCGACGACAGCACGACGGCCCAGACGUCGCCGUCAGAGGGCAACUCCUCGACUGCCGCCGUCGAGCCGGGCUACAACAUCAUCCAGGACCAGGCCGUGCAGGCGGUCUUCUGCGUGCUCUACACCGCCAUCUUCGUGCUGGGCGUGUUCGGCAACGUGCUGGUGUGCUACGUGGUGUGCCGCAACCGCGCCAUGCACACCGUCACCAACCUGUUCAUCACCAACCUGGCGCUGUCCGACAUCCUCUUGUGCGCGCUGGCGGUGCCCUUCACGCCGCUCUACUCCUUCCUGGGCCAGUGGGUGUUCGGCCCGGAGCUGUGCCACCUGGUGGCGUGCGCGCAGGGCACCAGCGUCUACAUCUCCACGCUCACGCUCACCUCCAUCGCCGUCGACCGCUUCUUCGUCAUCAUCUACCCGUUCCAGCAGCGCAUGCAGCUGUCCACCUGCCUCGCCGUCAUCUGCGGCAUCUGGCUCUUCUCGCUGGCCAUGACCCUGCCGUACGGCGUGUACAUCCAGCACAAGCGCAUCGACGGCCGGCCCUACUGCGAGGAGACCUGGCCGUCGGAGAACUUCCGCCAGGUGUACGGCAGCCUCACCUCCGCCAUGCAGUUCCUCGUGCCCUUCCUGGUGAUCGCCUUCUGCUACGUGCGCGUGUCCUUGAAGCUGAACGACCGCGCCAGGGCCAAGCCGGGCGCCAAGAGCUCGCGCAAGGAGGAGGCGGACCGCGAGCGCAAGAGGCGCACCAACCGCAUGCUCAUCGCCAUGGUGGCCAUCUUCGGCGUGUCGUGGCUGCCGCUGAACGCCGUCAACGUGCUCAACGACAUGUUCAUCACGGUGGGCGCGUGGAAGUACUACAACCUGUGCUUCUUCAUGGUGCACGCGGUCGCCAUGAGCUCCACGUGCUACAACCCGUUCCUGUACGCCUGGCUCAACGAGAACUUCAGGAAGGAGUUCAAGCAGGUGCUGCCGUGCUUCGGGGCGUCCGGGGGCGGGUCGGCGGUUGCCGCGGGGGCGGGCAGGGCCGGGGGCGGCGGGCGGCGGUCGGAGCGCACGUGCAACGGCAACGAGACCCUGCAGGAGACUCUGCUGCACACGUCUGUGGCGCCGGAGACGCGGGUGCCCGAGGAGGAGGAGGAGGGAGUGGCCGUGCGCGUCGAGACGGUCGCCUUCUCUGCGGCCGACGAGUCCGUGCAGCUGCGCCUGGGGCCCGAGGACGGCAGGACUUCCCCGCCGGCAAGGCUGCUGGCCGACGGCAAGUGAGGCAGGAAGCUGUCGCCAUUGGCCGAGGCCGAACACACAAGCUGAUUGAUUGGCCAAGUGCGCGUGACCGUCCGGGUGAAACCGUCUCAUCUAUCUGGGAAGGAUGACGCCAUGCAGAGAUCUUGAAAAUAUACCAAGACGGGCAGACAAGUUUUGGGAUAGUGACGACAUAUAAAUAACAAAAACAUAGGUUUUUUAAAAGUGUGUUUCGUAUUUAAAAAAAAAAAACAUUGAACCUGAUAUCAGAGCUACACCAUUCCUUGAACUCGCUGCAUCACAUUUACCGAGGUCAUGCAGAGCAUCUACUAUAAGAACUUUGUCGGCAUUAAAAUGUCUCAAUGUCCACAUUUACUGGUGUCUGUGUACGUAAAUAUUUAUGGGAAAAGUCACAAUUUCAAAUGUUAAAAUACGUGUCGAAUAAUGUUUACGAGAUAGUUGCUUGUUUUAAAUACAAACAUGGCUUCUGGUUUCAAUGUGCAAAUGCUUGAGUACAUGUUGGAAAAAAAUCUUAAGUGUGCAAAUAAAUUGCAUUGAUUCGAGUGAGGAAAAAAAAAAGACUGAAAAUUGCGUACGGUUUUUUUAUAUUAUCAAAGGUAAGAGAUAACUACAUACGUUUCAAUUGUGUAAAAUGAAUCAGUAUUAUACCAUAGGGUGUUAACAUUCACUAAAUGAAUUUUUAAGUAGCAAAAUAACAUUUAAUCUUUAACAAACAAUUUGUUUGUUUAACUUGACUUUUAUUAUUCCGGAAGAAAAACGUGAGUCUAUAAAUUAUUUAGGUUAUGACUCAUUUGGCUGUGCUGCUAUGAAUCACGUAGUUCGUGAAAGCUUUAUUGACGCUACUUUACAAGACAGUGCUUUGCUCUUAACAAUGUAUGCACUAUACACAAAGCUUUCACAAAAUAUAAUGUAUUAAUUUUACCAAAAAAAUUAAUAAAUUGAUCAGAUUGUAGGUAAUAAAAUAAACCAAAAGUUCUUACAACACUAAAUUAAAAAAUAAUAUUUUUAAUGUCUGUGUAGAAAUUUGUCGAAAUCAUUUAUAUUAUUUUCAAAUUAAAAAUAUUUACAGGUUAAAUUUUAGUAACUAAAUUUUUAAAGAUAGUUUGCGUUAGUAAUCAAUUUACACUACAAAUAAUUUUGCUUUGUUUUUUAACUGGAACAAUUUUCAGCUCUCUUAAUGAACUUCAACUAAACAUCAACUUAAAAAAAGUCUUAAAAUAUAUGAGUAAGAUUUAGUUGAUACAUGAUAUUACCAAUUUUUACAAUGCAGAUAGUAACUAAAGAAAGAAAAAGGUUUAUUACCUUAGCAAAAUAUGUACAAAUUUGCAAAAUUGGUACAGCAAAAAAUAAAUAAACUUAAUGAAAAUGUAUUAUUUUGCUUUACAGUGGAAUUUAAUAAUUAAAUACGCAAAACUGUUUAGUAAAAAGGGAACUUUUGUUAGAAUACAAAAAGAAAUAUUUGUUUGCUCAUUUCGCAAAGUUAAAAAUGAUAAGAUAUCGUUUUUCAUUUUAUCAAUAAAUAUUUGUUUGGUUACACAGCAUACGCGCGCACAAUCUGAUCAAUUUCAUUUUCUCAAUGUAAUAAAUGUCAUGAGGUAAGGUAUGUGCAUUUCGUUAAAAACGAGACCCAAAAACUACAGGAAAUGUCAUUUAUCCGGCAUUCUAUGGUUCUUCACAUUCUGUGAUCCGGCACCAACCGAGUACCUGUGUGUUUGUUAACGUUUUCUUCAAGUGGUUUGCAGCAGUUGACCAUAGGCCUCCAGGUAGAUUUACUGCGCUGCCGGAAUUUUUUAAAUAUUUUUUUUAAGCUCGGAAUUUACGUCGGUUUUCUCGUUUCAGUCGCAUUUCACUUUCCAUGAGAACAUUCAUUUGUGAUAUUCCCGUUAAGACUUCAAUAUUAAUUUUAUAAUCCAUCCAAAAAAAAACAGCGACUGUUACACGGCCGUGAUCCUGAACGCAUCGGGUUGACGACCUUAUCAAUGUACUCGAUGUUCACAACACGAGCGACUGUCUUGAGUUUAACGUGUUGCGAAAUAUUUUUUAAUGUGUAACAUCUUAGCUCUAGGCAUACGGCAUUUGGUAGGACUGAGUUCGUGGAUGGGCCGGGAAUGUGAACCCACGUUACUGGAAAAGAAAAAAAAAACAUCGUUACAUUAACGGCUUAGUGAAUAUUUACAAGAUAGGCAAUACUUUAAUUAAAUUAUUCGUCAAAAACCAAGUCCAAAGCCGGGUCUCUUUUUUUCGAAAACCAAGUCAAAAGCUGGGUCACUUUUUUUUCCGGUUUUAUCAUUUUAGUAGUUUAAAAUUUCGUUCUGCUAAUCAAACGAUUCAAUUAUUCGAUUCAAUUGCGUGUAUUUAUCACGGUCGGAUUAAUUUUUUUUAAAGAAUUUUGUGUUAAAUUUUGUGUCCGAGUUUCGUGUUACAACUCGUAUUUGCAACAUUUGCAAAUCCGGUCGUCGCCGAGGUCAGAUGUUAAACGUCACCGGCAGGUACUGAAAUAUACUCGCUCCCGUUUCAUUUCGUGUGUGUGUUUGUGUUUUUCCGUGUGUGUGUGUUUGUGUGUUUUCGGGUGGAGGUUAAAACGACUCGCGGGGCGCAGAGUCCGUGAGCCCCGAUUAAGCUAACGUGAACCAGGUUCAAACGGCUAAACCCAGGAUCGUUCCCCCCCACGCACGUGUAGCUUAACUUGAACUCUGGCCCCAAGCGACGCGACGUUUUUCCUCUCCGCCUUCAAGCGCUGCGACCGAGGCCUAAAGCCACGUCUUCUUCUGUCUUUCGCACGGCAAGAGUAUUUAUUUGUCACCUGCCGACUGUAAACUGUGGAAACAUAAUAAAAAAAAAUCAACGUUAUUUGUGUA